rnacentral:rRNA from 1 species
AUUGAACGCUGGCGGCAGGCCUAACACAUGCAAGUCGAACGAGUGGCGGACGGGUGAGUAAUGUCUGGGAAACUGCCUGAUGGAGGGGGAUAACUACUGGAAACGGUAGCUAAUACCGCAUACCAGCGGAUGUGCCCAGAUGGGAUUAGCUAGUAGGUGGGGUAAAGGCACACCUAGCCGACGAUCCCUAGCUGGUCUGAGAGGAUGAACAGCCACACUGGAACUGAGACACGGUCCUGACUCCUACGGGAGGGAGCAGUGGGGAAUAGUGCACAAUGGGCGCAAGGCUGAUGCGGCCAUGCCGCGUGUAUGAAGAAGGCCUUCGGGUUGUAAAGUACUUUCAGCGGGGAGGCGUUACCAGCAGAAGAAGCACCGGCUAACUCCGUGCCAGCAGCCGCGGUAAUUC